rnacentral:lncRNA from 1 species
UGAUUUCCACUGUCUCUCUCUUCGAAAGAAUAAAAACGAAUAAAAGGGGGAACCUAGCUCAUUAAAAAAAGGAGAAGGAAAUUAAAAAUAAGGAUGUUACCUCUCUUUUCUCUCUAGCCCACUCACACAUACUCUCCAUCUCAAAACGCUGCUAAAAAACAAAGAAAAAGAAAAGAUAAUAAAAACAAAUCCUAACUCCACUCUCACAACUCAACUGCCGUUCCCUUUCCUUUUUCCUCCCACCGCAAACCCACCGUCCUCACGAUCGCUCCGCUCCAACGGCGAGCUCCCUCAAACAAACCGUCUCCGACGAUUUCCACCGUCGAUAACGUCCAAACCCUCCAUCCUCCGCCGCGUGAACCACUCACCUUCCUCACAAACGCAACCGUGAACGACCGCUCACCGUGGCCACCACUCUUCAACCGUUGCUAACAAGAUCUUUCUUCCUCCAACGAUGACGUUUUAGGGAUACUGUCAUAACCACAUCACCAAGAACAAAUCAACAACACAUUGUAAAAAAAUUUCAACUCAGUUUCACUCACGAUUCUGAAGGUAACAACACAUUGAGAACAACCG